UUCCUGUGGCUCAGUUGGUAGAGCAUUGUGUUAACAACGCAAAGGAUGUGGGUUUAAAUCCCAGGCAAGAAC